rnacentral:rRNA from 1 species
AGCAGCCGCGGUAAUUCCAGCUCCAAUAGCGUAUAUUAAAGUUGUUGCAGUUAAAAAGCUCGUAGUUGAAUUUCGGGAUCAAUAUUUCGGUCAUGCCGUUGGUAUGCACUGUUAUCAUUGAUUUCUCACCUUCUAAAGAACCGUAAUGCCAUUAAUUUGGUGUUACGGGGAAUUAGGACUGUUACCUUGAAAAAAUUAGAGUGUUUAAAGCAGGCUCACGCUUGAAUACAUUAGCAUGGAAUAAUGAAAUAGGACAUCCGAUUCUAUUUUGUUGGUUUCUAGGAUCGAUGUAAUGAUUAAUAGGGAUAGUUGGGGGCAUUAGUAUUCAAUUGUCAGAGGUGAAAUUCUUGGAUUUAUUGAAGACUAACUACUGCGAAAGCAUUUGCCAAGGAUGUUUUCAUUAAUCAAGGACGAAAGUUAGGGGAUCGAAGACGAUCAGAUACCGUCGUAGUCUUAACCAUAAACUAUAGCCGACUACGGGAGUCGGAGUGUAUGUUAAUUUUUAAUUAGUACUCAUUAC